GGGGCUAGGCCGGGGGGUUCGGCGUCCCCUGUAACCGGAAACCGCCGAUAUGCCGGGGCCGAAGCCCGAGGGGCGGUUCCCGUAAGGGUUCCCACCCUCGGGCGUGCCUC
rnacentral:SRP_RNA from 1 species